rnacentral:rRNA from 1 species
GACGAACGCUGGCGGCGUGCUUAACACAUGCAAGUCGAACGGAAAGGCCCUGCUUUUGUGGGGUGCUCGAGUGGCGAACGGGUGAGUAACACGUGAGUAACCUGCCCUUGACUUUGGGAUAACUUCAGGAAACUGGGGCUAAUACCGGAUAGGAGCUCCUGCUGCAUGGUGGGGGUUGGAAAGUUUCGGCGGUUGGGGAUGGACUCGCGGCUUAUCAGCUUGUUGGUGGGGUAGUGGCUUACCAAGGCUUUGACGGGUAGCCGGCCUGAGAGGGUGACCGGCCACAUUGGGACUGAGAUACGGCCCAGACUCCUACGGGAGGCAGCAGUGGGGAAUAUUGCACAAUGGGCGGAAGCCUGAUGCAGCAACGCAGCGUGCGGGAUGACGGCCAUCGGGUUGUAAACCGCUUUCGCCUGUGACGAAGCGUGAGUGACGGUAAUGGGUAAAGAAGCACCGGCUAACUACGUG